UAACACAUGCAAGUCGAACGGCAGCACGGGUGCUUGCACCUGGUGGCGAGUGGCGAACGGGUGAGUAAUACAUCGGAACGUACCUUAUCGUGGGGGAUAACGCAGCGAAAGUUGCGCUAAUACCGCAUACGCCCUGAGGGGGAAAGCGGGGGACCGUAAGGCCUCGCGCGAUUAGAGCGGCCGAUGUCUGAUUAGCUUGUUGGUGAGGUAAAAGCUCACCAAGGCGAUGAUCAGUAGCUGGUCUGAGAGGACGAUCAGCCACACUGGGACUGAGACACGGCCCAGACUCCUACGGGAGGCAGCAGUGGGGAAUUUUGGACAAUGGGGGCAACCCUGAUCCAGCAAUGCCGCGUGAGUGAAGAAGGCCUUCGGGUUGUAAAGCUCUUUGUCAGGAAGAAACAGCAGCU
rnacentral:rRNA from 1 species